UGGGGAAUUUUCCGCGAUGGGCGAAAGCCUGACGGAGCAAUGCCGCGUGGAGGUGGAAGGCCUACGGGUCGUCAACUUCUUUUCUCGGAGAAGAAACAAUGACGGUAUCUGAGGAAUAAGCAUCGGCUAACUCUGUUCCAG
rnacentral:rRNA from 1 species